UGUCUCUCUAUCCACACACCUGCGUCCCUCCACAGACACCACACCUGCGUCAACCCACCACGGACUGCUGCAAACCGGACUGUAGGGCUACCUGGUCUUUACUGAAGAGCGUGGAGCCCUGGGACGGGACUGGGGAGAAGGAGUCAGAGGAUGUGUCUGAAAUGGCACCCUAUGUUCAUAUAAGGAAUAGGGUGCCAAUUUGGACACAACCAGAGAGAGAGAGAGAGCAGCCCUGUCCUGGGGCCUACAUAGAGGGAGUGGAAUGGGGAGAGAGAAUCCAAGGCGGUCAACCGACAAGUAGUCUCAUGGUAUUCCCUCCCUCCCGCCAUCCUUAUCCUCUGAAGCUGUGGAGUGUGACAAUGGUGUUUGUGUCCUCUGCAAUCAAACGCCAUUAUCACACUAAAUAGCUACGGUUAGAGGAGAACAGCAUCACCGUGGCCCUGAGGUCACUCAAACAGAGAUACUGAUGGUGAAGUAUGGACCAUGGUUUUGCCUUAUUCUCUCCACAUGCCUUGCAUGUUGUUGUAGCUGGUUUGGACUCUACAUUGGUCACAUGCUGACUGAAAGGUAAGUAAUAAAAAUAGAAGUGUGAUACCGUGACAAAACAUGAAGCUUCAGAUGCUUGCUGACCCAUUUCCCUCUCUGCCUACAUGUGAGGUGAUAAUGUGUUACUAAUGCAAAGAUGUGAUCUUUUAGGGACCAAAAUACAUUAACCAUUUUGUUUCAUGUGAUUCAGGAGGAAAACUGUAUUGCGUGCUGUGCUGUCUGUGUUGUCAUUGAAACCAACACAAAACAUUCUAAAAGUGUAAACCUGAGGGUUGAUGUCCAGUUUAAUGACUGUAGGACCUUUCACAACUCUGAAGUUUAAAUUACAAUAAAGUCAUUGAAUGCA